GGUGGUAUAGCAUAGAAUCAUAGCAUUCGACUGCAGAUCGAAUGUUCCCGGUUCAAUUCCGGGUACCCUUU